rnacentral:rRNA from 1 species
AGGAUAAACGCUGGCGGCGUGCCUAACACAUGCAAGUCGAACGCGCUUGCUAUCCGCGAGGACGGUGAGCGAGUGGCGGACGGGUGAGGAACACGUGGGUGACCUACCUUUCAGUGAGGGAUACCGGCGAGAAAUUGCCGACAAGACCGCAUACGCUUCUCUUUUCAAGGGGAGAAGGAAAGCUUUUCGCAAGAGAGGCGCUGGGAGAUGGGCCUGCGGCCGAUUAGCUAGCUGGUGGGGUAAUGGCCUACCAGGGCGACGAUCGGUAGCUGGUCUGAGAGGACGAUCAGCCACACUGGGAUUGAGAACGGCCCAGACUCCUACGGGGGGCAGCAGUGAGGAAUUUUCGGCAAUGGGGGCAACCCUGACCGAGCAACGCCGCGUGCAGGACGACGGCCUCGGGUUGUAAACUGCUUUUCUCUGGGACGAGCAAGGACGGUACAGAGGAAGAAGCCCGGCUAACUACGCGCCAGCAGCCGCGGU